UAGGGAAUCUUCCGCAAUGGGCGAAAGCCUGACGGAGCAACGCCGCGUGAGUGAUGAAGGUCUUCGGAUCGUAAAACUCUGUUAUUAGGGAAGAACAAAUGUGUAAGUAACUAUGCACAUCUUGACGGUACCUAACCAGAAAGCCACGGCUAACUACGUGCCAGCAGCCGCGGUAAUACGUAGGUGGCAAGCGUUGUCCGGAUUUAUUGGGCGUAAAGCGAGCGCAGGCGGUCAAUUAAGUCUGAUGUGAAAGCCCCCGGCUCAACCGGGGAGGGUCAUUGGAAACUGGUUGACUUGAGUGCAGAAGAGGAGAGUGGAAUUCCGUGUGUAGGGGUGAAAUGCGUAGAUAUAGGGAGGAACACCAGUGGCGAAGGCGACUCUCUGGUCUGUAACUGACGCUGAGGCUCGAAAGCGUGGGGAGCAGACAGG
rnacentral:rRNA from 1 species